UGAGUAACACGUAUCCAACCUGCCGUCUACUCUUGGACAGCCUUCUGAAAGGAAGAUUAAUACAAGAUGGCAUCAUGAGUCCGCAUGUUCACAUGAUUAAAGGUAUUCCGGUAGACGAUGGGGAUGCGUUCCAUUAGAUAGUAGGCGGGGUAACGGCCUACCUAGUCUUCGAUGGAUAGGGGUUCUGAGAGGAAGGUCCCCCACAUUGGAACUGAGACACGGUCCAA
rnacentral:rRNA from 1 species